UUUUUAGAAUUAUUUUCUGUAAUUGAAUUUUGUCUAAUUGAAUACACUAACAUGUGGGAAACCAUGGGAAAUUCAAAGAAACCUUACAAUUUGUCUAAUUGUAACAACAAUCAAUUGAUUUCUGGGACAAAAUGAAUUUGUUUUUAGUAAAAGUGCCCGGCAAAAAAACAAGAACCCUAAUUUUGCCUUAAGGAUUUGCAGAUAUUAAUGUAAUCAAACGAUGAAUUUUCGGGUGGAAAUGGAAGAGCCUGUUUAAUUGAAACGAGCAGCGAUUGAUGCGCCAACUGGAACAUCAGGCAAUUGUUGAUAUUUCUCGUACUGCUUCCUCGCCUAUUGUUGUCUAUAACAUCAACAUCAGGCUUCAGGGUUUUGGCGCGUGAUGUCCCAGCUCUGUUCAUGGUUAUGCCAUGUAGUAUACACUUCACAGGGUUAUCGAUCAUCACACUGCACCAAUCAACAGGGUAACCAACAACGGAAACUUGUUCGCACGGACUUAUGCCGCUGUCAGAUGCUCUGCUCUCAACUUUCUCACCAGCCAUACCUGACAUGAUUGAAUCACACUUUGUUUUGGGUGGGGGAGAAGAGGGGUUUGGAAAUAAUAAAUUCAUAAAUUAGACUAAUACUUGUACGCCGUAUGUAGGUUAUAGGUCUAUAUAUAUAAUACCUCGUAUAAGUGUAUAACUAACUAAUCAAUAUUUGCAGAGAACUCUUUGGGAUUUUGAAUCGUAUAGGAUUCUAUAUUUAAGGUAUUUCGCAUCGUAAAGAAUUUUCUAUUACAUUAUAUUGAAAUAGAUAUCAACUAUUAAGAGUCA